rnacentral:rRNA from 1 species
CUACGGGGUGCUGCAGUGAGGAAUUUUGCGCAAUGGGGGAAACCCUGACGCAGCAACGCCGCGUGAGUGAUGAAGGCUUUCGAGUCGUAAAGCUCUGUCAAGUGGGAAGAACCUACUAAGUGCCAAUACCGCUUAGUACUGACGGUACCACUGAAGGAAGCACCGGCUAACUCCGUGCCAGCAGCCGCGGUAAUACGGGGGGUGCAAGCGUUACUCGGAAUUAUUGGGCGUAAAGGGCGCGCAGGCGGCCAGGUAAGUCAGAUGUGAAAGCCCGGGGCUCAACCCCGGAAGUGCAUUUGAAACUACUUGGCUUGAGUAUGGGAGAGGGAAGUGGAAUUCCUGGUGUAGAGGUGAAAUUCGUAGAUAUCAGGAGGAACACCGGUGGCGAAGGCGACUUCCUGGACCAAUACUGACGCUGAGGCGCGAAGGCGUGGGUAGCAAACAGGAUUAGAUACCCUUGUAGUC